rnacentral:lncRNA from 1 species
CUUGGGGCUCAGGGCCUGGUACACAGUAGGAGGUCAUUAAACAUCCCACACUGGUCAGUUACAGCCUCCUACGUCCCAGCUGUGCGUUUCCUGUGAAAAGAAUAAUGAUCAGCAGCACAAGUUCUAUAAGGGCAGAACCAUGUCUGUCUCCAGAGCCUGGCACAAGGCCUGACACCUAAAGAGCACCCAAAGAACAUCUGUGCCAUCAAUGAAUGAAUGAAUGAAUGAAGCAAUGGUUCCAUCUUGCUCUUGUCUGGGCUCCAGAGCCUGGUAUUCAGAAAAUGUCAUUUCAGCAGAGAACUAACUGGAUGUGGCUGCGGCAGCCCUGAAGAGCCCAUAGAAGAAAAGUUUGAAUUCCCCAGAAUCAGCCCAUUCUUGCAUUAAUUUCAAAACAUAGUUGAGUGCCUACUGUGUGUGCCAGGCACUGGUGGUGGUGAUACAGCAGUAAGCAAGAGAGACAGUAAAAAAUACAGACAAGCAAACAGGCCUGGCAGCUAGUGUGAUCAGUGCGAGGAUGGUG